AUUGAACGCUGGCGGCAUGCCUUACACAUGCAAGUCGAACGGUAACAGGUUAAGCUGACGAGUGGCGAACGGGUGAGUAAUAUAUCGGAACGUGCCCAGUCGUGGGGGAUAACGUAGCGAAAGCUACGCUAAUACCGCAUACGAUCUACGGAUGAAAGCGGGGGAUCGCAAGACCUCGCGCGAUUGGAGCGGCCGAUAUCAGAUUAGGUUGUUGGUGAGGUAAAAGCUCACCAAGCCUGCGAUCUGUAGCUGGUCUGAGAGGACGACCAGCCACACUGGAUCUGAGACACGGUCCAGACUCCUACGGGAGGCAGCAGUGGGGAAUUUUGGACAAUGGACGCAAGUCUGAUCCAGCAAUGCCGCGUGCAGGACGAAGGCCUUCGGGUUGUAAACUGCUUUUGUACGGGACGAAACGGUGAGCUCUAAUACAGUUUGCUAAUGACGGUACCGUAAGAAUAAGCACCGGCUAACUACGUGCCAGCAGCCGCAGUAA
rnacentral:rRNA from 1 species